rnacentral:ncRNA from 1 species
GGAAACGAAUGAUAUGAGUGAGUAGAUUUGAUGAGACUGUACAGAAAACCUGGUUGGCUGAGAGCAGGGUAGUUGAUUGAAUUGAAGAUGGCUCAUUGAUCGGCAUCGCUGAGCAUUGGUUAAGCGAUGAUGGCUGGCGGUCAUUAUUCCGCACACAGGUUAUUGCCUGUUACUGAGGGCGCUUUGGCGUCGAAUUAGAAUGGUACCGCGAGUUAACUCGCUUCUAAA